CAUUCCCCUGCAAUUUCACUGCUCAAUUCACUGUCAUUUAGGAGUUAAAUCAAUUUGUUUCUGUUUAUGCAGCCCUAGCCACACCUCCCCUGGCUAUGACUGACAGAGCCUGCAUGAAAAAAAAAACUGGUUUCACUUUCAAACAGAUGUAAUUUACCUUAAAUAAUUGUAUCUCAAUCUCUAAAUUAAACUUUAAUCACAUACAGGAGGCUCUUGCAGGGUCUAGCAAGCUAUUAACACAGCAGGGGAUAAGAAAAUCUUAAUUAAACAGAACUUGCAAUAAAGAAAGCCUAAAUAGGGCUCUCUUUACAGGAAGUGUUUAUGGAAGGCUGUGCAAGUCACAUGCAGGGAGGUGUGACUAGG